GUGAACGCUGGCGGUAGGCCUAACACAUGCAAGUCGAACGGCAGCACAGUAAGAGCUUGCUCUUACGGGUGGCGAGUGGCGGACGGGUGAGGAAUACAUCGGAAUCUACUUUUUCGUGGGGGAUAACGUAGGGAAACUUACGCUAAUACCGCAUACGACCUACGGGUGAAAGCAGGGGAUCUUCGGACCUUGCGCGAUUGAAUGAGCCGAUGUCGGAUUAGCUAGUUGGCGGGGUAAAGGCCCACCAAGGCGACGAUCCGUAGCUGGUCUGAGAGGAUGAUCAGCCACACUGGAACUGAGACACGGUCCAGACUCCUACGGGAGGCAGCAGUGGGGAAUAUUGGACAAUGGGCGCAAGCCUGAUCCAGCCAUACCGCGAGGGUGAAGAAGGCCUUCGGGUUGUAAAGCCCUUUUGUUGGGAAAGAAAAGCAGCAGGUUAAUACCCCGCUGUUCUGACGGUACCCAAAGAAUAAGCACCGGCUAACUUCGU
rnacentral:rRNA from 1 species